CUGUAAAGUGACAUUUUUCAGCAUAUUUGGUAGAUUUUUCAUAUUUGAGCUUGAAUCGGAUCGUUUUUAAUGACUAAAUCAGUUAAAAUCUUUCACAUUAACUAAUUGAAUCAAGUGAAAUAGACACUUAAGUGUUUAAAAAGUGGUCAAAAUUUUUCGUCAGAUGAAACUGAAAUUUGAGGCCAAAAUGAGUCCUUACCGGACCUUCUCCUUU
rnacentral:lncRNA from 1 species